UACGUAGGUGGCGAGCGUUAUCCGGAAUUACUGGGCGUAAAGCGCACGCAGGCGGCCGGUCAAGUCUGACGUGAAAGCUCCUGGCUUAACUGGGAGAGGUCGUUGGAAACUGGCGGGCUUGAGGCAAUGAGAGGGGUGUAGAAUUCCCGGUGUAGUGGUGGAAUGCGUAGAUAUUAGGAGGAACACCAGUGGCGAAGGCGGCUUUCUGGCUUGACCCUGACGCUGAGGCGCGAAAGCGUGGGGAGCAAACAGGAUUAGAUACCCCGGUAGUCCCU
rnacentral:rRNA from 1 species